rnacentral:tRNA from 1 species
CCUUCUGUGGUGAAAUGGCAGACACGGUUGACUCAAAAUCAAUUGUCUAUUAGACAUGUAGGUUCAAGUCCUACCAGAAGGA